GACGAACGCUGGCGGCGUGCUUAACACGUGCAAGCCGAGCGAUGAAGCUUCUUCGGAAGUGGAUUAGCGGCGGACGGGUGAGUAACACGUGGGUAACCUGCCUCAUAGAGGGGAAUAGCCUUCCGAAAGGAAGAUUAAUACCGCAUAAGAUUGUAAUAUCGCAUGAUAUAGCAAUUAAAGGAGUAAUCCGCUAUGAGAUGGACCCGCGUCGCAUUAGCUAGUUGGUGAGGUAACGGCUCACCAAGGCGACGAUGCGUAGCCGACCUGAGAGGGUGAUCGGCCACAUUGGGACUGAGACACGGCCCAGACUCCUACGGGAGGCAGCAGUGGGGAAUAUUGCACAAUGGGGGAAACCUUGAUGCAGCAACGCCGCGUGAGUGAUGACGGUCUUCGGAUUGUAAAGCUCUGUCUUCAGGGACGAUAAUGACGGUACCUGAGGAGGAAGCCACGGCUAACUACGUGCCAGCCGCCGCGGUAA
rnacentral:rRNA from 1 species